rnacentral:rRNA from 1 species
UACGGAGGAUCCAAGCGUUGUCCGGAUUUAUUGGGCUUAAAGGGUGCGUAGGCGGAUAAUUAAGUCAGUGGUGAAAUCUUGCGGCUCAACCGUAAAAUUGCCAUUGAAACUGAUUAUCUUGAGUACAGUUGAGGUGGGCGGAAUGUAUCAUGUAGCGGUGAAAUGCUUAGAUAUGAUACAGAACACCUAUUGCGAAAGCAGCUCACUAAACUGCAACUGACGCUGAGGCACGAAAGCGUGGGGAUCAAACAGG